CCUACGGGUGGCAGCAGUGAGGAAUAUUGGUCAAUGGACGAGAGUCUGAACCAGCCAAGUCGCGUGAAGGAUGACGGCCCUACGGGUUGUAAACUUCUUUUGUCAGGGAGCAAUUGGGUCCACGCGUGGGCUUAGCGAGAGUACCUGAAGAAAAAGCAUCGGCUAACUCCGUGCCAGCAGCCGCGGUAAGACGGAGGAUGCGAGCGUUAUCCGGUUUUAUUGGGUUAAAAGGGUGCGUAGGCGGAAUAUCAGGUCAGCGGGAAAAAUUCGGGGCUCAACCCCGUCGUGCCGUUGAAACUGAUGAUCUUGAGUGGGCGAGAAGUAUGCGGAAUGCGUGGUGUAGCGGUGAAAUGCAUAGAUAUCACGCAGAACUCCGAUUGCGAAGGCAGCAUACCGGCGCCCAACUGACGCUGAAGCACGAAAGCGUGGGUAUCGAACAGGAUUAGAUACCCUUGUAGUC
rnacentral:rRNA from 1 species